UAUGCGCAUGUGUUUAGGUUCGGCAUAAAUAAAUCAUUUUCCAAUAUAUUUUCUUAACGACCAUUACAACGUUCAAUGUGCCACAAGUAACUUUGAAGCACUCACAUGGACAAGAACAUUCAACAACUUAAGAAGUUCUUGUUAAGUUCCUAUAUGUACGUUUUUUUUUUCUUUUUCUUUUCUUUUUCCCUUUUUUUUUUUUUUUUUUUUUUUUUUUUUUUUAACAUGGUCGCUUUUACAAAAAUUGUCAUCCAUUUAAUUUUCCGGAAGAAAAAUCAAAGCCGAUUAAAGACUUUCGACCAUAUAUCCUGUCACGUUCCUAAUCUCCUCCUCUCUCCACUCUGUUAUGAGCUUUAUAUCAAAUAUAAUCACAUCCUUACUGAGUUAUUGUAAUAUAUAUAUAUAUAUAGUUUGGUCGUGAAGAAACUUUUAGAUCGAAUACAACUUUCUAAGGACGUUUGAAAGGUGUUUGGCCAACGAUCACGGGCAGGAGGAAAACAAUAACGACGUACUGCUCUGCUGCUCAGAACAUUCACCUGAUUGUUAGUUGGUAUGUGGCUUAUUAUUUGAGCCUAACGAGUUGGUUGCUCUUUGUUAACUCAGGUACUUGACUACAAGAAAGGCAAACUUUGGAACUUGAAGCAAUCAUUGGAGCUUAAAGCUAACAUUAAAAUUUGAAGUUGCUUAAGGACCUUUGUUGUUGAUUCCAAGUUUGGGGGUGCACUCUUUCCCAAUGGAUCACUACCGGGCUCAAUGUCUUUGCCACCACGGUAUAUUCUUUCCAUCUUUUCCAUUAUUCUCAUUGCACAUUGAGGACAAUGUGUGGUUUAAGUUUGGGGGUAAGGGUCCUUGUUGCAUUCUACUUAAGUUUGAGACUUAAUUGCAUGAUUAAGAUUGAAGAUCCAUGUUAGAUAUUAUUUUGAUCAUUUGAGGACUAUAUUGCUUAAAAUUUAAAAAUUGCUUGACUUAAGAGUCUAAUACUCCUUAUAUGCCUUAUAGAUGCCAUUUAAGAGUAAAUUUUUUGAAAGAUUGAUAUCUUGUUUGCAUUUGUGAUCCACAUCAUCUUGAUUCUGUGAUUGUUUUGAGAUUCAUUCUAAGAUUCUACACUAGCACAGGCGCACACUAGCAUUCAUUUGUGGGGUACAUGCUUUGUUAAUUAUUGAUUUGGUUAUAUCCCAAUUGAGCUAGUAGUGUAUUGAAAGUUUUCAUUCUUGAUAAAGGUGGAUAACAACCCCUUUUCACUAAGUAGCCAGGAUUCUAGCCUCAUCAAACACUGAAUUUCUCGCACCGAAAGGUGGAGGGCCCAAACUCCAGGUUAAUAACUUGGUACGAAAAAAAAAAAAAAAAAAAAAAAUUGCAAAAGUAAAUAAAAAAGUGAGGACUUCUCCCAAAAGGUGAGAAGUGAAAAAUGAUUAGAUGGAGGUUGUUUUGAUUUAUAGCUUAGUUGAUUUGAGCUUGUAAGUCCUUAGGGGUGUUUAAACACCUAAUGCCCUAAAGCCGUCUGGUUUGGGAGUCAUUGACCUAACAUUCGACCUCAUGGAUCGCUAGAAAGCUUAAUAGAUCACUACAUUGCACCAUGCUUCCAUCUUUGAUCCUCUAGGUUAGUUAAAAAAAAUAAAAAAAUCGAGUGAAAAGAAAAAGUGCACCUAGAUAAAUAAAGCUUUAAUAAAAGGUCCACUUUUUGUUUUGAUGAUUGGGACUAGAUUUGUGUGCUAGUUUAAGGGUAAGGAUGUAAUCAUUUCUUUAGUUGGCUUAGCUAACAACAUAUUUGAUGCCGAUCCACUCAAAAAGGAUUCUAGUGUUGUUUUGAUUUGCAUGAUCAUUGUCUUGAUGUGUGGAGGACCAUAUUUAUUUGUUUGAUGUUAAGAUUUUGGGAGAUUGCUUGGAAAGGGUUGAAAAAUUGCAUACUUGAGGUAGUUUUCUCCCGAUGCUUAUUUUGUAUAUUGGUGCUUCUUUAGUGAGAAAGAGCUCAAUGUUUGUGGGUAUCAUUUCUGGAAACCCUCACGAGAUUUCAUUUGUCCACUAGGGGUAACCUAGGGGCUUAAAAGGCUUGUUGCAUGUGCUAAAUGUAAUCGUGUUCCCUACGAAAGUGGCGUUAUCCAUUUAUUACUUUCUAGUUCAUAGUUGUUCAGUUGUUCAUUUCAUUCCUUUACUUUGUAGUUCAUUGCUAGGGACUAACAAUAUUUAAGUUUGGGGGUGUGAUGAGCGCUGAAAAGUGUGCAUUUAAACCCCUUAAGCUUGAGUAUUUUAGACCUUAUUCUAUCUUAUUUUUCAUUUUAGUCUAAUUUCAUGUUUUUGUCUAUUUCAGGUCAAUAAUGUUAAAACUGGCUAAAAAUGGUUUCUUAAGGCCUUUUUGGAGUCAAACUAAGUCUUAGUGAGAAUUCGGAGCAAAAGGAGGCUGGUGCUAAAAAACUACCAAGUAAGAUCGAUCGGAGAAAAGUGAGAUCGAUCGGAGAAAAGUGAGAUCGAUCGUAGAAAAGUGAGAUCGAUUGGAGAAAAGUCAAAUCGAUCGGAAAAAAGAGAGAUCAAUUGAACUCUGAUCGAUCGAAGAUAUUUUGGAUCGAUCAAAAAUGUGCUGGCAGUGAGUUGUCUUAUUGCCACGCGCCCGAACUCCACCUACCAUAUAGUUACAGUAUUAGAUAUUUUUAGGCUGUAUUUCUGACUUAGUGACUAAGAAAAGGACCUUGUAUUUAAAGGGAAUUGAACCAUUUUAUAAGAGAGCUUUUUAUCAUUUUAUUUUACAUUGUAAUUUUUAUUUUCUCUCUCUAGAAAAGUUAGAGAUUAAGGUUAGAAGAAAAGAGAAGAGUGGAUGCUUCAAGAACACAUCUCAAGAUCUGCAAUCUCUCUCUAGAAUUCAACAAAGAAGAAGAGGAAGAAGAUGGAGCCAUGUUUGGGGAUUGCCCUUGAGGGUCCUCCAUGAUUGGCUCGACUUCUCCUUGGGGCUUGGAUGAGCCCCAAGUUUGUAAUCUAAACCUCUAUCUUUUUCAUACUUUUUGGGGAAUAAUAUCUUGUGAUUAGUGUUUUAGCCUUGUGAAUUUAAUGAAU